rnacentral:rRNA from 1 species
AUGAACGCUGGCGGCGUGCCUAAUCCCUGCCAGUCGAGCGAACGGACGAGAAGCUUGCUUCUCUGAUGUUAGCGGCGGACGGGUGAGUAACACGUGGAUAACCUACCUAUAAGACUGGGAUAACUUCGGGAAACCGGAGCUAAUACCGGAUAAUAUUUUGAACCGCAUGGUUCAAAAGUGAAAGACGGUCUUGCUGUCACUUAUAGAUGGAUCCGGGCUGCAUUAUCUAGUUGGUAAGGUAACGGCUUACCAAGGCAACGAUGCAUAGCCGACCUGAGAGGGUGAUCGGCCACACUGGAACUGAGACACGGUCCAGACUCCUACGGGAGGCAGCAGUAGGGAAUCUUCCGCAAUGGGCGAAAGCCUGACGGAGCAACGCCGCGUGAGUGAUGAAGGUCUUCGGAUCGUAAAACUCUGUUAUUAGGGAAGAACAUAUGUGUAAGUAACUGUGCACAUCUUGACGGUACCUAAUCAGAAAGCCACGGCUAACUACGUG